rnacentral:lncRNA from 1 species
AACACAGGAAAAUCUCAAAAGAUAAACAAUGGUAAUGAAUGAUAAAAAAAAAAAACUAAUUGUUUAAAUAACAUAUCAAAUAUUUUUUAAAUAAAUUAAUAGUAUGUUGAAGCAAUAAUAAACUAGAAUGAUAUCAACUAUGUUGGAAUUUCAUAUCUCUAACGAUCUUAGUAGCAGUCUGUAUAUACCAAAUAAUAAAAAAUCUUGUUCUAGACUAGGUUAAAGUCCAAUACAGCUUCGCUCGGGUCCGGCCCAAGUUCGUUAAGGAUGUGACACCAUACAAUGGACAUGCCCUAAAAUCCACCAGAUUAUGGCACGGGCUGAGGGUUACACACUAGGUCCGAUAGUUGGCCACGCCUACACAGGCCGAGGGUAGUUGUAACGCCCUAAUUGUUAUUUUAUUAUUUUUAGUCUUUUAUAUGAUUUUAAAUGAUUUAUGUUGAUUUUGUGGUGUGGGUAUUUUAUUAAAUGGCUAUUUUUAGUAUUUAAUAGAAUAAGUGAGCAUUAGGAUUUAAUUGGAGUUUUGGGGUUAAAUGAGAAUUAAGUAAAUUAAGUGGGAGUUAAUUAAAUAUUGGGAGAUUAUAUUUACUGAGAAAAAGGAGAAAAAUAAGGUUAGAAGCAGUUUCACGUGAAAACAGUUUUUGGGAGAAAAACCAAGAGAAAGCUAGGAGAAGAGCCAAGAGGGGAGAAUCUGAUUUUUGUAGAGAUUUGUUCAUCAAUUCAAGGUAAGGGUGAGGCUAACUCUCAAUAAUCAUAGUGUAUGUGAAUUCUGAAAUUGAUUUAACAUGUGGUUGUUAUGAAUUUGGGAAUUAGGGUUAGAAUGUAGAAUUGAAUUGUGGAAAGAAGUAGAUAAUCUGAUGGAUUAGGGUGAUAAAGGAUGUUUAGAUUGUAGAUUAAUCACAGACUAAGUUUCCAAUCAGUAUUGGGGUUUGAGUCGAUGGAAAUUGAGAUUUUCGUUUGAAAAGUCGGUGUCUAAACGUUUUGCAAAUAAGUGAUUGUGUGAGGUUUUGGAGAUCGAUUUUUGGGUGGUUGAAGCUUGAAUUUUUCUAUAGAUUAUGAUAGAGCUAAGUUUCAUGAGCGUUUAGGCGAAAACGGCAUCGAAAACGGGUUAACGGUUUGAUUUUUAUGUGCGAAAACGUGAAGGUUGAAAAUCUGAAGUCGUCUGUCGAAUCUGGAAAAAUCAUGCCACGAUGGGAGACCAACGUGCCACGAUUUUGUCAUCCAAGAAACCUUAAAAAUGCAAUUUUCUUCACUCCAAUUGCUUCCAAACUUCUUCCUAAGUGUAGGGACUUUAUCCUAACAAUCUAGAGAUGUUUUUAGGAAAGAAAUAAUGUCGUAUAAAGGGUCUAAUGAGUUCAUGAGUUGGUCCUUGGGGUAGGAAUGAAAGUUGUUUAUAAAGGUACAACUUUUCAGUGAAUCUAAGCUAAUAUAAUUGAUGUUGUUGGUUAAUUUAAGCUAUAUAUAUUAUGUGGAAAAUGUAUGAUAUAGAAAAUGUCGUUGUUUAUAUCAUUCAAGUUGUUGUUAUUAAUAUUGUUAUGUUGCAAGUUGCUUAUGUUGUUGUCUCUACUGUUGUUGAUUAUUAAUAUCAUUAAGUUGACCAAGUUGUGGAGCAAGUCAUAAUUAUUUAUGCACAGUUGUUGUUGUCGUUGUCAUUGUCUACGUUGUCGUCGAUGUUGCUGAGUUGUAUGUUGAUAUACACAAAGUUGAGUCCAUUGCAUACUCAUAAACCGUUGAGGGCUCAUGCCCUGGAAUGCCUUGUCAUUCAACUGUUGAGGGCUUAUGCCCUGGAAUGCUUAGUCAUUCAACACGUUGAAAAUGGUACCACAUGUAUAUUGUAGUUGUCGUUGUCGUUGAGAGAGUUGUUGUUAUUGAAUAAGUUGUUGUCGUUGUCGUUGAGAGAGUUGUUGUUGUUGUUGAAUAAGUUGUUGUGGUUGUCGAAUAAGUUGUUGUCGUUGUCGUUGAGAGAGUUUGUUGUUGUUGUUGUUGUUGUUGAAUAAGUUGUUGUCGUCGUUGUUGAGUGAGUUGUUGUAGUUGUUGAUUGAGUGGUUUGUUAUAGUUGUUGUUGAGUGAGUUGUGUCGUUGUUGCUGAAUCUUGUUGUUGUCUUCAUUGUUGGUUGAAUUAAUAAGUGUUAUUAAAGUUGAAGAAGUAUGAACAUUAUUGUUGGGUAUAUGUUGCUAAUUAUAUUAUUUAAUUAAGUUGUUAAAUAGGUUGAUGAUUUAUAUAUAUCUAUUAUUAUUGUUUGUGAAUCUCACCCCUUCUGCUUGGAAAUGUUGCCCUUCCUAUGGGUAACUUGCAGGUAAUCCAGAGUAGUUGUUGUUCCUUGCUGUCGUGAGUGAACUUUCCUCACAUGUGUCUUAGGGCUCUGAUACGUAACGGGAUGGGGAAACUUUGUCGUUGAAUUUUCAUCAUUCCUUAUGUAUCAUUAUCAACCUUUUGUUGGAUUAAAUCUUUAAGGAUAAUUAUGUUGAGGCUAUGUGCCAGUUUUAUUUGAAGGAUGUUUAAUGUUGAAAAAUAUUUCCGCUGCGAUGAAUUGAUAUGUUUUAUUGAAACUAUUAUUUAGUGAAUAGAAGUUUAUCCUAUUCAAGAUUUUUUGAAAAGCAGUGUGACACUCCGUUCGUUGAAAAACUCUUAUUUUAUUUAAUAAUAUUUAUGUUGGGAAAUCGGGGUGUUAUAGUAGAUCACAAGGGUCGAGGGUUACCCACGUUCGUACUAACAUGUAUGAUUGCCAGGAUAAGGUUUGGCAACCAAGACCUACCUAAACCCUAUUUAUACCCAGGAUUUAUACUUGGGAC